GACGAACGCUGGCGGCGUGCUUAACACAUGCAAGUCGAACGGAAAGGCCCUGCUUUUGUGGGGUGCUCGAGUGGCGAACGGGUGAGUAACACGUGAGUAACCUGCCCUUGACUUUGGGAUAACUUCAGGAAACUGAGGCUAAUACCGGAUAGGAGCUCCUGCUGCAUGGUGGGGGUUGGAAAGUUUCGGCGGUUGGGGAUGGACUCGCGGCUUAUCAGCUUGUUGGUGGGGUAGUGGCUUACCAAGGCUUUGACGGGUAGCCGGCCUGAGAAGGUGACCGGCCACAUUGGGACUGAGAUACGGCCCAGACUCCUACGGGAGGCAGCAGUGGGGAAUAUUGCACAAUGGGCGGAAGCCUGAUGCAGCAACGCCGCGUGCGGGAUGACGGCCUUCGGGUUGUAAACCGCUUUCGCCUGUGACGAAGCGUGAGUGACGGUAAUGGGUAAAGAAGCACCGGCUAACUACGUG
rnacentral:rRNA from 1 species